rfam:Triticum urartu cultivar G1812 contig462543, whole genome shotgun sequence.
CAAGGUCGAAUGAUUGUCACAAGUGCAUAGUUCAUAUGAUCAAAUUGUGAUCACUUGAACAAAAAAAAGUCUCUCGCUCCUAUCGGACGACUUUC